AUUAUUUCAAAGAGUAGGGUGAAUUCAGGUUGAUUGGAACACUUUUCCAAGCCAUUUCAAUGACAAAAAGUGUUCACACAAUAGUGUACAAACAAUAAUAAAAUAGGCUACUGUAUAGUUUUAUAGUUAUAUUAUCUUAAACUGAUGUCGCAAUCUAUAUAUUACUUUUAUGCUUAUGUGGCAGAUUAGUCAGAUCCUCCCUGUAGUGACGUCAUGUUAUUGGUAGCCUAUCUUCCCGCAGGGAGGUGUGUAUAAAUGGCUGUUUGGUGCGGGCCGGAUGUGCGUCAUCUGUUCUGUGCCUGCGCUCUUCCUGUUUACCGGCAUUCAACAGAGGUCUGUGGUUAAAACACAGCCGUUUGGGCAUUUUAACACCGCUUGUGUCAUUUUGUGGGGCUUUGCGUACACUGGAGAGUCUAUUGUAAACAACCGUUACGUGCGGUCUGGCUCGUUACACUGCCUAGUCCCAGCAUUCCCGUGUGUUUACCGUUUGAGUGGGGACAUCCAAUAUAUGCUGUUUGGCAUCUACUUCAUUUCUAUCCCGUGGAUACUGACGUCAGCUCUGCUUUCUGGUGUGGCAAACGGCUGCGUUAUUUGGGGCUAAGACUGUGCGUGCUGCAUUUCCCUACUACAUAUAGAAGCACGCUGCUGUUUUGUUCCUGCUGGAUUUGCUUUCGUUUCUUUUCUGUAUAUUUUUGUUGUGUGUUUUCAUCAUUUUGUCCUGGGUGAUUUAGCGCGGCCCGAUUUUGGAGUUGUUGGUUAAAACCUGCUCCUACUGUGACUGUAUUUUAA
ensembl:lncRNA